rnacentral:rRNA from 1 species
AGUGAACGCUGGCGGUAGGCCUAACACAUGCAAGUCGAACGGCAGCACAGUAAGAGCUUGCUCUUACGGGUGGCGAGUGGCGGACGGGUGAGGAAUACAUCGGAAUCUACUUUUUCGUGGGGGAUAACGUAGGGAAACUUACGCUAAUACCGCAUACGACCUACGGGUGAAAGCAGGGGAUCUUCGGACCUUGCGCGAUUGAAUGAGCCGAUGUCGGAUUAGCUAGUUGGCGGGGUAAAGGCCCACCAAGGCGACGAUCCGUAGCUGGUCUGAGAGGAUGAUCAGCCACACUGGGACUGAGACACGGUCCAGACUCCUACGGGAGGCAGCAGUGGGGAAUAUUGGACAAUGGGCGCAAGCCUGAUCCAGCCAUACUGCGUGGGUGAAGAAGGCCUUCGGGUUGUAAAGCCCUUUUGUUGGGAAAGAAAAGCAGCAGGUUAAUACCCCGCUGUUCUGACGGUACCCAAAGAAUAAGCACCGGCUAACUUCGUG